AUGGGCGGCCGGAGCAACUCAGCCACCACAGCCGCCCAACAAAAUGCAGUGCUCCGAAUCGUUGUCGUCGGCGGUGGAGGUGUCGGGAAAUCGGCGUUGACCAUACAGUUUAUACAGAGGUACUUUGUGCAGGACUACGACCCGACGAUCGAAGACUCCUACACCAAACAAUGUUUCGUCGACGAGGAUCUUUGCAAACUGGAAAUCCUUGACACUGCUGGACAGGAGGAGUUUUCCACGAUGCGAGAGCAGUAUUUGCGAACGGGGAGCGGUUUUUUAAUUGUGUUUGCAGUUACUGACAGGAAUAGUUUCGAAGAGGUCAAAAAGCUACACGAAUUAAUAUGCCGAAUCAAGGAUCGAGAUGAUUUUCCAAUUAUACUAGUGGGCAAUAAAGCAGAUUUGGAAAAUGAGAGACACGUAAGUUUUGAAAAUUUUUUCAAAAAAAUUUUCAAAAAUUUGCUCAACUUCCCAACAAGAUGUUCCAAGUACCCAUUAGCUCCGAUUUGA
rnacentral:misc_RNA from 1 species